rnacentral:rRNA from 1 species
UAGGGAAUCUUCCGCAAUGGACGAAAGUCUGACGCAGCAACGCCGCGUGAGUGAAGAAGGCUUUCUGUUCGUAAAACUCUGUUGUUAGGGAAGAAAAAAUGUAUAGUAACUAUAUACAAAAGAGACGGUACCUAACAAGAAAGCCACGGCUAACUACGUGCCAGCAGCCGCGGUAAUACGUAGGUGGCAAGCGUUGUCCGGAAUUAUUGGGGGUAAAGCGCGCGCAGGUGGUUUAGAAAGUCUGAUGUGAAAGCCCACGGCUCAACCGUGGAGGGACAUUGGAAACUAAUAAACUUGAGUGCAGGAGAGGAAGGUGGAAUUCCUCAUGUAGCGGUGAAAUGCGGAGAGAUUAGGAGGAACACCGGUGGCGAAAGCAGCUUUCUGGCCUGCAAUUGACACUGAGGCGCGAAAGCGUGGGGAGCAAACAGG